ACCCGCACAAGCGGUGGAUGAUGUGGAUUAAUUCGAUGCAACGCGAAGAACCUUACCUACCCUUGACAUGUCCGGAACUUGCCAGAGAUGGCUUGGUGCCCGAAAGGGAAUCGGAACACAGGUGCUGCAUGGCUGUCGUCAGCUCGUGUCGUGAGAUGUUGGGUUAAGUCCCGCAACGAGCGCAACCCUUGUCAUUAGUUGCCAUCAUUUGGUUGGGCACUCUAAUGAGACUGCCGGUGACAAACCGGAGGAAGGUGGGGAUGACGUCAAGUCCUCAUGGCCCUUAUGGGUAGGGCUUCACACGUCAUACAAUGGUCGGUACAGAGGGUUGCCAACCCGCGAGGGGGAGCUAAUCCCACAAAGCCGAUCGUAGUCCGGAUCGCAGUCUGCAACUCGACUGCGUGAAGUCGGAAUCGCUAGUAAUCGUGGAUCAGCAUGUCACGGUGAAUACGUUCCCGGGUCUU
rnacentral:rRNA from 1 species